CUGGAGCCCUGCUGGGGCCCUGUUGGGAUCCACUGGGACCCUGGUGGGACCAGCUGGGACCCUGCUGGGACCAACGGGGACCCCCUGGAACCCUGCUGGGGCCCUGUUGGGAUCCACUGGGACCCUGGUGGGACCAGCUGGGACCCUGCUGGGACCAACGGGGACCCCCUGGAACCCUGCUGGGGCCCUGUUGGGAUCCACUGGGACCCUGGUGGGACCAGCUGGGACCCUGCUGGGCCCCACGGGGACCCCCUGGAACCCUGCUGGGGCCAACUGGGAUCCACUGGGACCCCGGUGGGACCAGCUGGGACCCUGCUGGGCCCCACGGGGACCCCCUGGAACCCUGCUGGGGCCAACUGGGAUCCACUGGGACCCCGGUGGGACCAGCUGGGACCCUGCUGGGCCCCACGGGGACCCCCUGGAACCCUGCUGGGGCCAACUGGGAUCCACUGGGACCCCGGUGGGACCAGCUGGGACCCUGCUGGGCCCCACGGGGACCCCCUGGAACCCUGCUGGGGCCAACUGGGAUCCACUGGGACCCCGGUGGGACCAGCUGGGACCCUGCUGGGCCCCACGGGGACCCCCUGGAACCCUGCUGGGGCCCUGUUGGGAUCCACUGGGACCCUGGUGGGACCAGCUGGGACCCUGCUGGGACCAACGGGGACCCCCUGGAACCCUGCUGGGGCCAACUGGGAUCCACUGGGACCCCGGUGGGACCAGCUGGGACCCUGCUGGGACCAACUGGGGUCAACUGGAACCCUGCUGGGGCCAACUGGGAUCCACUGGGACCCUGCUGGGACCAGCUGAGACCCGCUGGGUCCCUGCUGGGACCAACUGGGGGCGCCUGGAACCAUACUGGGACCAACUGGGAUCAACCUCAACCGUGCUGGAGCCAACUGGGAUCAAGCAGGAAUAACUGGAAGCAACUGAGGUCAAGCGGGAUCAACUGGGACCAUGCUGGCAUCAACUGGGGGCCAACUGGGAUCAACCAGGACCAUGCUGGGAUCAACUGGGGGCCAACUGGGAUGAACUGGGACCAUGUUGGGAUCGACUGGGAUCAAUAGGAACUGUACUGGAGCCAACCGGGACACUGCUGGAUUCAACUGGGAUCAACCGGGACCAUGUUGGGAUCGACUGGGACCAACUGGGAGCCGCCCCCACCCAAACUGGCCUGGAACUGGGCCGGCGACCCCUCC
rnacentral:lncRNA from 1 species